rnacentral:lncRNA from 1 species
GAUGCUAAGAGUAAAAAAAAUUCUUGUUAUUAGACUGUUAGUUAAAGAAUAAAAAUAACAGUAGUUUAGCUUAAGUGUGAAGUUCAAUGGAUGCCAUUGUACAACAUGGUAACUAAGAAAUCAUUUAUGUGUUGCAGUAUAAAAUAUUUAUAACACCUUAGUCCCAUAUAGAAGAGUAUGGAGAUUUUAAUUCAAUUUAUAAAUAUAAAUAUUAGUACAAAUAUUACUUUAAUUGAGUACCAUCGAUUCCAUAGAGCCCAACCCUGGUUUUGUAAUUGUAUACUGCUGACUAAUUAUAUCAUGAGUUCAGGCCUCAGCUGUCUUCUUUUUACUGACCAUUUUUUUAUUUCCGGGAAUAUUAAUGACAGACCAUGUCCUGUCCUUGCGUGUUUGGCUGUGAUCGAUCAUAUCUAGGGCUGUAAACGAACCGAGCCGAAUCGAGUUCUAUCGAAUUCGAGUCCGAGUCGAGCUAAAGCUCGUUAAGCUUAUCGAGCCGGAAAUUUGGUUCGAACUCGAGUUCGGUAUCAACCGAGUCGAGUAUCGAGUUUUCAGCGAACUUGCGAGUCGAACCCGAGCUCGAGUCGGACCCGAGCUUUCAGUUAAAAUUUUUGUUUUUAAUAUGAAUUUGGGCCUCAACCAGUCAGCCCAUUACAUUUUACAAACCCAUAUGUUUGUUUGUUUGAGAUAAGCCCAACCAUUUAACCUAAAACUAAAAUUUAAAAACAUUUAGCAAAAAAAAAAUAAAAAUUAAAAACUAAAAACUAAUUAACAAAGAAAGUAGAUUAGUCUAUGGUGUGCCCAUGGGCACAUGCUAAGCGCGGAAAAUUUUGGGCUUGGAUCAUUUUGAUUGGCUCCUAUCUCAUGAUAAUGGUGGACCCCCUGCAAAUACACCAACCACACCAAUCAAAAUCUCCCAAAUACAAAAAUUUCCGCGCUUAGCAUGUGCCCAUGGGCACACACUAGCCAAACCGAAAUACUAAAAUCUAAAUCUAAAUGAUUAAAUCCCCAAUUCCCAAAUCGACUCAAACCUAAACCCAUAUCACAACUAUCGCCGCUCCGCUCUCAAGCACUGCCCACUUCCAAUCAACCCCAACGGCCACCGACCCAUCGUCAAUCCACCACUGAUAUGCAGAUGUGAAAUGGCCUGUUGCUGCCUUGCUCGGAACUGGGAUGAACUGUCCACUGAUUUGCUGUGAUUCUGUGAAUCCAUGAUAAUGGCCACCAUUAUUUGUUGACUUGUGCUGUUAUACAGAUUCACAAGUGCUACUAGUUCACUACUUUAAUGUAUUUAAAUUUCUUUUGGUUUGUAUUGGAAGCUUAUAUAAUAGAUCAGUAGAUAAGAAGUUCUAUUAUUAAUUUAUUAUUAUUUAUUUUAAUUAUGUACCAGUUUAUCGAGUUGAGUAUCGAGUCGAACGAGUCGAACACGAGUUCGAGUCUAUACCGAGUCGAGUCGAGCAACUACAAAACUCGAAUCGACUCGUUAAGCUUAUCGAGCUGCUUUGGUUGUUCAAACUCGAGCUCGUUAACGAGCCGAGCCGAGCCGGCCUAACGAUCAGCUCGGUUCGUUUACAGCCCUAAAUUCAUAUCUUUUUGUUUCUUCCUCACUGGUUUCGAUUUCUUUACAGUGCCAGUUCUCUCUUUAGUUUUUUUUAACUGAUUUAUUUCAGCAUACACGUGAAGUUUUGCUCCCUGCCGUGUUUUCAUUAUCUGACAUCAGUUGAGAUAUAUGACAUGUUUGCUACAUGUUUAGGAUG